rnacentral:lncRNA from 1 species
AUGACGUAACAUGGAAUAUGUACGUAAUAGAUACAAAGAAAUUCAGAGACAAUGGGUCUACUGAAUUUAUGAAUAAACGAAUAUCACAAACAGAUUCAAUGAUUGUGACACCUACACAAAUGCAGUAUAGAUUUACGGAAACCUAAAUCUGAUAUUGAUGCGGCAUUAUCCGAGAGGUUGAAUAACUGCAAGGCAAACAUUCGGUGGCUCUGAUUUUCAUGGAUGACAUUAAUUGCGGUCAGUCUGAAGUGAGAUACAUUACUGAAAAUAUACGCGUUAUUGUCUGGAUUAUCAGUGAGCAGCUGCUGAGUGUGGUAUUCGAAAUCAUUAAUCGUCUGGUCAUAGCUGUGCGAGCCUGAAAACUUUCCAGCGACUAUAGAAAUUU